UGUUAUGGCGGCUGUGCGCGGGAGACCUUCGGGUCUGCCGGUUACUCUGUUCCGGUUCGCCAACCUGCGUACAGCUGCCACCCAU
rnacentral:antisense_RNA from 2 species